GAUGAACGCUGGCGGCGUGCUUAACACAUGCAAGUCGAACGAUGAAGCCCAGCUUGCUGGGUGGAUUAGUGGCGAACGGGUGAGUAACACGUGAGUAACCUGCCCUUAACUCUGGGAUAAGCCUGGGAAACUGGGUCUAAUACCGGAUAGGAGCGUCCACCGCAUGGUGGGUGUUGGAAAGAUUUAUCGGUUUUGGAUGGACUCGCGGCCUAUCAGCUUGUUGGUGAGGUAAUGGCUCACCAAGGCGACGACGGGUAGCCGGCCUGAGAGGGUGACCGGCCACACUGGGACUGAGACACGGCCCAGACUCCUACGGGAGGCAGCAGUGGGGAAUAUUGCGCAAUGGGCGCAAGCCUGAUGCAGCGACGCCGCGUGAGGGAUGACGGCCUUCGGGUUGUAAACCUCUUUCAGUAGGGAAGAAGCGAAAGUGACGGUACCUGCAGAAGAAGCACCGGCUAACUACGUG
rnacentral:rRNA from 1 species